rnacentral:misc_RNA from 1 species
GAACGCACAUUGCGCCCCUUGGUAUUCCGAGGGGCAUGCCUGUCCGAGCGUCAUUUCAACCCUCAAGCACAGCUUGGUCUUGGGCUUCGCUGCUAACCCAGCGGGUCUUAAAAUCAGUGGCGGUGCCGUCGGGCCCUGAGCGCAGUAAUUCUUCUCGCUAUAGGGUCCCGGUGGAUACUGGCCAUCAACCCCCAAUCUUCAAUGGUUGACCUCGGAUCAGGUAGGGAUACCCGCUGAACUUAAG